GCCGCCGCCCACGGCUCUCCCCUCAGCCAGCCGCUGGAGUGAGGGGGCACCGCCGAGCUGGUAGCCGGGCGAGCGCCGUAUUUUGUUUUUAUCCCCCCUUCCUUUUAUUUUUUCGUCCCCUUCCUUUUAUUUUUUUGCCCCCUCCCCGGAGUCCUGCCUCGCUGCCUCCACACGCAGCAGCUGCCAGGCCCGGCGGGUCCCGGCCCUCAGGCCACAGUUCGGUGCCCGAGUGCCCCGCACACAGCGUCGUGGUUGGAAACCUCCGUCUGGUUUUGCUGAAGGACCGGUGGCAGCGCGUCGCCAGCUAAUAACCACCAGCCGAGCCUCUGAUGCAUUGCCACUGCAAGAAGAUACUUGCGCCCAAGAGUAUUUUCAAUAUUCAUCAGCAAUACGUUUAUAAAGAGAGAGCUCCUUGCAAAAAUAUAUCGUUGACUGUUUCAGUGCCCUACUGAAGGCUGUGCCAGAGGGGAGCGUGGUUGGUCCCAGCCUCAACCCAGCAGACGCCAUUUCAGGAGGACAAAACCUCUCCUGCGGAACCUGCCCUGAGCCAUCUCUGCUGGUCUGCAGCAGCUGCCUACCUCAGACACCGGCCCCAGCGAGCCUAGAUGGCAUGCAGUGAGUUAAACAUUUUUUUCCAUGGGUGCUGUGCAGGCCAGGCAGUGCCCUGCAGCGAGGAAGAGGGUAGUUAUGGUGAAACAGAUAAAGCUGAAACCACAUAACUUUGACUAGGCUGUUGAAGUGGAAAUAGUGCUUUUAUUUUGGAGGUUGGUUGUGUUCAAGUUGCUAGUGUACUUUUGUAUUAUAGAUUUUUUUUUUUCUGUUAGAAAACGCAAGGAAGGUUUCCUUAAAAAAAAAAAAAGUGGAAAAUAGAAUGACUUAUAUAAAAACUUCCAUAUACCCUCUGGAGUUCAGUUUGGGGUGAUACAGAAAGAUGCUGGGCUUAUUUUUCACAUAAGCUAUCGUUAACUUCUGAAUCCCUUUUCAAAAAGCAUCCCCUUAUACAGUAUUAGGAAAAAAAAAGUGUAGCUAGUGACUGAGUUGCAGGGGGAAAGAUUUGUUCAGUGAUGGACAUCAUUUUUCCUGCUUUUUGCUAUCUCUGUCGUAUUGAACUUCUCAGAUUGAAAGCACUGAAAGGCAGACUGCUGGAAAAACAAUGGCAACUCAGCACUGCCAAAACAGCCCAAAAAGGAGCUGGGAAAAGAUGAUGGCAGCAGGGGAAUCCCCAAACUCAGAAAAAGUGCCGCGUAUAAAACAGCGUGGAGACUGUGACCCUACACCCACUGCUGGUUAGGAUCUUGUUCCUUAAACCUUUUAGCCCCCAUAAGAAGUAGGUUUUACUCUGUUUUGUGGACUGGUUAAUUGUAUUGCAGAAACCCUAAGUGGACAUGCCAGAGGCUACAGAGAGAGCCAAGAGCUCUGAGGUGGGGUUGGCUGCCAAGCGCUAUUUUGUUCAAGUGCUACCACAGAGCCUGCAAGAUUGGAGUAACUGCAUUGUUUCCACGUGGUACCCCCUCUAGGCUCUUCCCUAGUCUUUUUACCGGAUAGAAAGAUGAGGACUGUUGAUCCAAAACAAAUUUAGGGCUCCAAGCAUUCACGAACCUUGGAAAUUUUGCUCAAGGUACAAAUCAUAGAGCAACUAGCCUGAUGGAUGAGAUCUUGUAUCCACAGGACCAUACUAUAACUAAACUUCGGCUUCAGAGCCACUUCUGUUAUAACAGCACAGGAGGCAGAGUAUGCCAGUAGCAAGCAGUCACACAAUACACGGGAGGAAAGAGACUUCGUGUGGCUUUUAUUGACGUUUCAAUACAAUAUUAAAGAAUAAUGCCAAUAUUAAAGGAUAACUUAAGGAAAUAAGCUUAUAAUAUUAACUGCUAUUGUAGAUUUCUCUCCUUAGUGGGUAUUAUGUGGAAGUUGCCAUUUUGGCUUGCAACCUCUGCAAUCAAACACACCAUUACAACUCUACAGGCUGAGUUGAGAAACUAGGUCUUCCCUCAGUGCAGGCUAGACACAGAAACAGAUGUUAUGUGCUGACUACUCAUGUUUCCAGAACUGUCCUAAGUUCCUGGAAUCCCCCUGUGCAAUGCUCACUAAUGGCAUUUCAUGACAAGAGGAGAGUACUGGGCUUCUGCUGAGGAAUGUGAGUUCUUGUAGUGGUUGCAGCACGCGCUUCUGCCCAAGAAGACCAGGAAUGGUGGAUCACAUUUGAGUCUGGGAGCAAAAGAAAAGCAACAGUAGCAGUUGGAAAUAUCAGAAAUGCCACAGUCACAAUGGGGAGUCAUGAGAAGGACAAAAACAAUGAAUCUCUGCUGAGCAUCACGAGACUUGACAGGACUCAAAUCCUCAGAAGUGCAGCAAGUGAUAUUUCUAGGGACUAAUUAUAACACUAGGAUUUAAAAAAAAAUCCAACAAAUGCAACAAAACCAAGUUCAAUUCUACUUUUACACAUUUUAAGAUUCUGAAAUAUCUUUAGAUCUGAAAACUACAGCUUCUUGAUGGAAAUUUAUAGAGCUCAACCUCCAGGGGACUGCAAGGAAGCCCUGUACAGAAGGUACUAAUACAUCUAGUCUCCCUACCCUUAAGUCAGAAUUCUGUAAGUCAUGACUGCUCACAGGACUUCUCCCUAUUCUGUGAAGCUAGGAGCCAUGCCAAGGACCUUGGAGAAUCUAGGCUCUUUGCCAAAAAGCAUGAGUUUGAAAACCUGGGGCCACUUAGGGCUACUAGGCUCCCUGCCAUGAAGCGAAGAUCUGAGCAGAGUUCUGAAAGGUGUGGCACAAAUUCUGGAAGAGUUGGAAACUUAGAAACCCCCACUUGCUUCAGGGCUAAUGGAAAGCUGCUAGCCAAAAAGCCCUAGAGUUCUGGCUCUCCCAUGAGCUGCACACUUGGAAUCACAGCUAUAGUUUAGUUUCUACAUUUUCAAAACAAAAGUAUUUUAAUUAUUUCAAACUUAUGCUGCUGCUUUUUUUUUUUUCCCCUUUUUCCUCGGACUUUUGCUUUCCCAGGAAAUUCAGAAAACCGAUUUCCAUUCUAUGAUAGAGUUCACUCCCGUUCCUGGGAAAUGGCAUUUCUUGAAUUCCAAUACAGAAAACUCAUUUUUCAAUCAGUUUCACUUGCGAUGUCUAACUUCAGAAUACAGGAAACACCAUUACAAUUAACAUGUACAAUUAAUAAACACAUAGUACAUUCGGCACAGAAUUGCCUCACUGACCCUGCAGCCUAACAUGCCAGCAGAUAUCUUUCACCUCUGGAAAACAAAACAACAGGAGGUCUUUCUCAAUAGAAGCUCCAGACUGAUUGCAGUAAGAGAUGCAACGUUUUUAUUGUCCCAGCACACUAGAUCUUUAUAUUUUUCUUUAACUCCCUCAGAAGCACCAACCGUGGGAAACUAUCAGAAGUUACGUGGUUUACCCUCUGCCACAAACAAGUCAGUGGUAGACCUUAGGUUAGAUAGCAACAGCAAUGCUUCAGCUUAUUAAACAAUAAAGUAAUCUGUUUCUAGGCAGUCAUUAAUGUCUGAUUGUUAGACUGAAGAGUAGCGAGUUUUGAUUCUCCAGCAUGAAAAUUCCCCUGGAAUUCCUCCAGUGUCCUCUAAUGAACAAAUGAUCUCAACUUUAAUCUUACUACAUAAUUAUCCAAGGAUAAUAUUUCUUCAACACAGACUCCUUAAACACAUACAAUUUCUACGGUAAGGAUAUUCUAACUAAUUCAUUUUUGCCUUUGAUCCACAAAAUGAGAGUCUUAAGAAGCAAACAGCACUAAGGGGGUGUUGAGGGUACAUUGAGGAGAGAUGAAUUACAAAGUUCAGAUGAAUGCAAUGGUUUAAUCCCAUACUGUCAUGAUCAAACAUAUCCAAUGCAUUUUUUAAGAAGCUGGCAGGCCUUUAUUUUGACCUCUGACAUAACGUUGUAAUAUUAACAUCAGUUACCUCAGUGCAUGCUACCGUUAAACCCUAGGCUUUUGUUUUAUUUACAGUAUGUCCUCUCAAUCACAGUCUCAAAAAUGAAAAUAACCACAGAAUCAUGCAUUAGACAGAUGCAGGUAUAAAUGGAAAAGAAUAAAUCACAAGACUGCUAUUAUACAGGCAAUACAGUUUUAUUAUGUUCUUUCACCAAUUGUAGCAAAAAAACAACUGAACAAUCAAGGGAACUUAACUGUCAACAGGAAUUAUGUUCUAAAUUUUAGUCCAGGAAGGUUUGACAUGGAGAAAAAAAACAUAUACACACUGUAAUAAUAGUCUCUAUUAUGAAGAUUUAAUGCCUUCUUUAAAAGCACUGAGAUUAUUGAGGCACCUUACUGCAAGUUAUGUAUCAUCUCCUCUUUGGCAAUGAGAUGUGUGGUUUUGUUAACUAGGGCCAUUAGUGAGUUCAGCUUGUGAGACCAGUCAUUCAGUAUAUUGUUUGGAUCCUUAGGCCUCUGAAAAUUGAUAAUUCCUGCAAGCCUGUCUACUUUAGCAAAGAUGGUCUUAUUAACUACUAGGUUAGACAGAAACUCCUCCGAUUCCUGCAAAGACAAACAGCACUAAGUCAAGAAAAUAGCAUUUUCAUCUUCAAAGCAUCAGAAUUCCUCCCAAACAGCAUUAAAGCACAAGGAACAAGGUUGUCAUUAUACUUAAAAGAAAUCUAUCUGUAGUAAUAAUGUAUUUAAAAAAACAACACAAUACUUUAAUAUUACACAUGGGCACAGCAAGCUACUAGCACCAUCUAUUCCCAAACUUUUUUUUCCUCAUUUGAUCUAUACCUGACUAUCUUUCAUGAAAUUAAAAGUUUAAUGUACUACACCAACAGACUUUUACACUUUGGAUUACUUGGCAACGCAGUUAUCAGACCAACCCUUCUGACAAGUAAGACAGGAAAAUCCCUGUGAAUUACAGGUGAGAAACCCUGUAUCUUCAAUCAAAUUUAAUCACUCAUUGACAAGAGCUUUUUCCCACUGAAAUAUAAGAUAAGAAGCUCCAACAUUUAAAUAUGACCUUGAGCAUAAAUGAAUUUUGAGCAUCAGCUUUUGCCAUAUGGGCACAUGCAUCAUGACAUUCAGUUCUGUCUGAAUUGAAUAACUGUUUUUCAACUCCCAUAAAGGCACGAAAAUACAUUCAGGGUGUUGCAUUGAGUAGUAGGGACAAAUUAAUAAACAUUUGGGCUAACAUACUGCUAUUCCCAACAGGCUUUUCCACUGCUUCUCUCAUAACUAAAGUUCAUUUAACGCUCUGUGUAAAUCACUACAGCACACUGUGUUCUUCCUGGUAAAAGCUGAAAUGCACUGGUAGCACAAAUAGGGGAAUAAAACUAAGGAUGAUGCCAGGAGAGCUGGAAAGAUGAUACAAAGGCAGAUAUAUGCACAAGUAGCAACAGAUACUAUAUCCAUGAACAUUCAUAAACGCAUGAGUAUAAAUCCUGAGAAUUUUGUUCCAAGCAGAGUAUUUCUACAAUGCUGUGUCUUUCUGCAUUGUCUGUAAAACAAUGCAAUGGUGCUCUAUGGCACUACUUUCAGAGCUUUUUAAGCU